rnacentral:misc_RNA from 1 species
AACAUCGCGCACCUGCGGGAACCUGCGGAAGGAUCAUUACAGAGUUCGUGCCCUCGCGGGUAGAUCUCCCACCCUUGUGUAUUUUCUACAUCUUGUUGCUUUGGCAGGCCGUUGGUUCGCCAACCACCGGCUCGCGGGCUGGUGCGUGCCUGCCAGAGGACCUCUCAAACUCGGUUUGUUAGUGUCGUCUGAGUACCAUAACAAUCGUUAAAACUUUUAACAACGGAUCUCAGAUCGGAA